CUUACCUACCCUUGACAUGUACGGAAUCCUGCUGAGAGGCGGGAGUGCCCGAAAGGGAGCCGUAACACAGGUGCUGCAUGGCUGUCGUCAGCUCGUGUCGUGAGAUGUUGGGUUAAGUCCCGCAACGAGCGCAACCCUUGUCCCUAGUUGCUACGCAAGAGCACUCCAGGGAGACUGCCGGUGACAAACCGGAGGAAGGUGGGGAUGACGUCAAGUCCUCAUGGCCCUUAUGGGUAGGGCUUCACACGUCAUACAAUGGUCGGAACAGAGGGUUGCCAAGCCGCGAGGUGGAGCCAAUCCCAGAAAACCGAUCGUAGUCCGGAUCGCAGUCUGCAACUCGACUGCGUGAAGCGGAAUCGCUAGUAAUCG
rnacentral:rRNA from 1 species